rnacentral:rRNA from 1 species
AGCGAACGCUGGCGGCAGGCCUAACACAUGCAAGUCGAACGAACCUUUCGGGGUUAGUGGCGGACGGGUGAGUAACACGUGGGAACGUGCCUUUAGGUUCGGAAUAACUCAGGGAAACUUGUGCUAAUACCGAAUGUGCCCUUCGGGGGAAGGAUUUAUCGCCUUUAGAGCGGCCCGGGUCAGUUUAGCUAGUUGGUUGGGGGAAUGGCACACCAAGGCGACGUUCAGUAGCUGGUCGGAGAGGAUGAUAAGCCAGAUUGGGACUGAGACACGGCCCAAACUGCUACGGGGGGGAGCAGUGGGGAAUCUUGCGGAAGGGGCGAAAGCCUGACGAAGCCAUGCCGCGGGAAUGAUGAAGGUCUUAGGAUUGUAAAAUUCUUUCACCGGGGACGAUAAUGACGGUACCCGGAGAAGAAGCCCCGGCUAACUUCGUG